rnacentral:rRNA from 1 species
ACGUACACUCCUGCGGGAGGCAGCAGUGGGGAAUUUUGGACAAUGGGCGAAAGCCUGAUCCAGCAAUGCCGCGUGUGUGAAGAAGGCCUUCGGGUUGUAAAGCACUUUUGUCCGGAAAGAAAUCCUUGGCUCUAAUACAGUCGGGGGAUGACGGUACCGGAAGAAUAAGCACCGGCUAACUACGUGCCAGCAGCCGCGGUAAUACGUAGGGUGCGAGCGUUAAUCGGAAUUACUGGGCGUAAAGCGUGCGCAGGCGGUUUGCUAAGACCGAUGUGAAAUCCCCGGGCUCAACCUGGGAACUGCAUUGGUGACUGGCAGGCUAGAGUAUGGCAGAGGGGGGUAGAAUUCCACGUGUAGCAGUGAAAUGCGUAGAGAUGUGGAGGAAUACCGAUGGCGAAGGCCGCCCCCUGGGCCAAUACUGACGCUCAUGCACGAAAGCGUGGGGAGCAAACAGGAUUAGAUACCCCAGUAGUCCCAUGAU